rnacentral:snRNA from 1 species
AUCGCUUCUUGGCCUUUUGGCUAAGAUCAAGUGAAUGUGUUUGCAUGUGUACAUGCAUAUGUGUUUGCAUGUGUACAUGUAUGCAUGUAUGUUCGUGUGUGUGUGUGUGUGUGUGUGUGUGCACGCACGCAUGUACUUUAACAGGACACCAGACUUAGCAGGUACUUCUUUC